GGGUUGUGAGGUUAAGCGACUAAGCGUACACGGUGGAUGCCCUGGCAGUCAGAGGCGAUGAAGGACGUGCUAAUCUGCGAUAAGCGUCGGUAAGGUGAUAUGAACCGUUAUAACCGGCGAUUUCCGAAUGGGGAAACCCAGUGUGUUUCGACACACUAUCAUUAACUGAAUCCAUAGGUUAAUGAGGCGAACCGGGGGAACUGAAACAUCUAAGUACCCCGAGGAAAAGAAAUCAACCGAGAUUCCCCCAGUAGCGGCGAGCGAACGGGGAGCAGCCCAGAGCCUGAAUCAGUGUGUGUGUUAGUGGAAGCGUCUGGAAAGGCGCGCGAUACAGGGUGACAGCCCCGUACACAAAAAUGCACAUGCUGUGAGCUCGAUGAGUAGGGCGGGACACGUGGUAUCCUGUCUGAAUAUGGGGGGACCAUCCUCCAAGGCUAAAUACUCCUGACUGACCGAUAGUGAACCAGUACCGUGAGGGAAAGGCGAAAAGAACCCCGGCGAGGGGAGUGAAAAAGAACCUGAAACCGUGUACGUACAAGCAGUGGGAGCACGCUUAGGCGUGUGACUGCGUACCUUUUGUAUAAUGGGUCAGCGACUUAUAUUCUGUAGCAAGGUUAACCGAAUAGGGGAGCCGAAGGGAAACCGAGUCUUAACUGGGCGUUAAGUUGCAGGGUAUAGACCCGAAACCCGGUGAUCUAGCCAUGGGCAGGUUGAAGGUUGGGUAACACUAACUGGAGGACCGAACCGACUAAUGUUGAAAAAUUAGCGGAUGACUUGUGGCUGGGGGUGAAAGGCCAAUCAAACCGGGAGAUAGCUGGUUCUCCCCGAAAGCUAUUUAGGUAGCGCCUCGUGAAUUCAUCUCCGGGGGUAGAGCACUGUUUCGGCAAGGGGGUCAUCCCGACUUACCAACCCGAUGCAAACUGCGAAUACCGGAGAAUGUUAUCACGGGAGACACACGGCGGGUGCUAACGUCCGUCGUGAAGAGGGAAACAACCCAGACCGCCAGCUAAGGUCCCAAAGUCAUGGUUAAGUGGGAAACGAUGUGGGAAGGCCCAGACAGCCAGGAUGUUGGCUUAGAAGCAGCCAUCAUUUAAAGAAAGCGUAAUAGCUCACUGGUCGAGUCGGCCUGCGCGGAAGAUGUAACGGGGCUAAACCAUGCACCGAAGCUGCGGCAGCGACGCUGAUGCGUUGUUGGGUAGGGGAGCGUUCUGUAAGCCUGUGAAGGUGUGCUGUGAGGCAUGCUGGAGGUAUCAGAAGUGCGAAUGCUGACAUAAGUAACGAUAAAGCGGGUGAAAAGCCCGCUCGCCGGAAGACCAAGGGUUCCUGUCCAACGUUAAUCGGGGCAGGGUGAGUCGACCCCUAAGGCGAGGCCGAAAGGCGUAGUCGAUGGGAAACAGGUUAAUAUUCCUGUACUUGGUGUUACUGCGAAGGGGGGACGGAGAAGGCUAUGUUGGCCGGGCGACGGUUGUCCCGGUUUAAGCGUGUAGGCUGGUUUUCCAGGCAAAUCCGGAAAAUCAAGGCUGAGGCGUGAUGACGAGGCACUACGGUGCUGAAGCAACAAAUGCCCUGCUUCCAGGAAAAGCCUCUAAGCAUCAGGUAACAUCAAAUCGUACCCCAAACCGACACAGGUGGUCAGGUAGAGAAUACCAAGGCGCUUGAGAGAACUCGGGUGAAGGAACUAGGCAAAAUGGUGCCGUAACUUCGGGAGAAGGCACGCUGAUAUGUAGGUGAAGUCCCUCGCGGAUGGAGCUGAAAUCAGUCGAAGAUACCAGCUGGCUGCAACUGUUUAUUAAAAACACAGCACUGUGCAAACACGAAAGUGGACGUAUACGGUGUGACGCCUGCCCGGUGCCGGAAGGUUAAUUGAUGGGGUUAGCGCAAGCGAAGCUCUUGAUCGAAGCCCCGGUAAACGGCGGCCGUAACUAUAACGGUCCUAAGGUAGCGAAAUUCCUUGUCGGGUAAGUUCCGACCUGCACGAAUGGCGUAAUGAUGGCCAGGCUGUCUCCACCCGAGACUCAGUGAAAUUGAACUCGCUGUGAAGAUGCAGUGUACCCGCGGCAAGACGGAAAGACCCCGUGAACCUUUACUAUAGCUUGACACUGAACAUUGAGCCUUGAUGUGUAGGAUAGGUGGGAGGCUUUGAAGUGUGGACGCCAGUCUGCAUGGAGCCGACCUUGAAAUACCACCCUUUAAUGUUUGAUGUUCUAACGUUGACCCGUAAUCCGGGUUGCGGACAGUGUCUGGUGGGUAGUUUGACUGGGGCGGUCUCCUCCUAAAGAGUAACGGAGGAGCACGAAGGUUGGCUAAUCCUGGUCGGACAUCAGGAGGUUAGUGCAAUGGCAUAAGCCAGCUUGACUGCGAGCGUGACGGCGCGAGCAGGUGCGAAAGCAGGUCAUAGUGAUCCGGUGGUUCUGAAUGGAAGGGCCAUCGCUCAACGGAUAAAAGGUACUCCGGGGAUAACAGGCUGAUACCGCCCAAGAGUUCAUAUCGACGGCGGUGUUUGGCACCUCGAUGUCGGCUCAUCACAUCCUGGGGCUGAAGUAGGUCCCAAGGGUAUGGCUGUUCGCCAUUUAAAGUGGUACGCGAGCUGGGUUUAGAACGUCGUGAGACAGUUCGGUCCCUAUCUGCCGUGGGCGCUGGAGAACUGAGGGGGGCUGCUCCUAGUACGAGAGGACCGGAGUGGACGCAUCACUGGUGUUCGGGUUGUCAUGCCAAUGGCACUGCCCGGUAGCUAAAUGCGGAAGAGAUAAGUGCUGAAAGCAUCUAAGCACGAAACUUGCCCCGAGAUGAGUUCUCCCUGAC
rnacentral:rRNA from 1 species